UACGGAGGGUGCGAGCGUUGUCCGGAAUCACUGGGCGUAAAGGGCGCGUAGGCGGCGCGGAAAGUCGUCGGUGAAAGCUCGGGCUCAACCCUGAGUCUGCCGGUGAUACUCCCGCGCUUGAGCUCACUAGAGGCAGAUGGAAUCCGGGUGUAGCGGUGGAAUGCGUAGAGAUCCGGAAGACACCGGUGGCGAAGGCGGUCUGACUGGGUGAGGCUGGACGCUGAGAGCGAAGCCGGGGAGCAAAGCGG
rnacentral:rRNA from 1 species